UCCAGCAAGAGCUUACGGCGCAUGCUCCGGCCUAGAAAGCUGGUUCUCCAUUCCACCCAAGCUUUGAGGGUCCCUGAGCUGCCUGAAAGAUUUAUUCUUCAGUUCCUGGCCUGACUCCCUUCUGAAAGAGCAAGCCAACCCCCUGGCCACUGCAUGCUGUGUGUGGCAAAAGGAAAGGCAAGAAGGGCUCUAAAGAUCCUGUAGAAGCAGAGAAGAUGGAAGCAGCUGGGAAGCCAACGGGAGGUGAGCCCCGAUUGCAGCAGAAGAAGGUGGCCUCAGAAGGUGAGGGAGAGCCUCCUAAGGCCGCUGGGAAGCCAACAGGAGGGGAACCCAGGUUACAACAGAAGAAACUGGCCCCGGAAGGUGAGGGAGAGCCUCCUAAGGCUGCUGGGAAGCCAACAGGAGGGGAACCCAGGUUACAACAGAAGAAACUGGCCCCGGAAGGUGAGGGAGAGCCUCCUAAGGCUGCUGGGAAGCCAACAGGAGGGGAACCCAGGUUACAACAGAAGAAACUGGCCCCGGAAGGUGAGGGAGAGCCUCCUAAGGCCGCUGGGAAGCCAACAGGAGGGGAACCCAGGUUACAACAGAAGAAACUGGCCCUGGAAGGUGAGGGAGAGCCUCCUAAGGCCGCUGGGAAGCCAUCAGGUGGAGAACCCCGACUGCAGCAGAAGAAACUGGCGCUAGUUGAUGGGAACCCACCCAAAGCAGCUGGGAAAUCAUCACAGGAAGACUGAAGCCUCAGCAAAGCUAAUGUCCUUUUCUCUGGUUUGCCAUCUUCCAGGAAUUCAGACAGUGCCAUAACAAGUCCCCUCAGCAGAGACAUUAACAACAUUCAUGUCACAUCCAUUUAUCAGCACUACUGUUCUAACCUUUUGCAGAACCUUAGCUCUCCGGCAGUUAGCACUGCUGUUAGUGUACUGACCGAGCACCGAACGCUGCUAGCCAGGGUGUGAAAGAGCUGGUCAGUUAUGGAGAAAAUAAAUGAGGCAAAAGUGAGGUAAAAUUUGCUUCAUCCACUUUGAAGUGAUUCUGACCAAGAAAGCCGACAGGAUUCCAUCAGCAUCCAAAACAGUCUGAGCCGCCGCAAAAAUCAAAGAAGCAAAAAUAUUUAUUUCCACCCGGCACCAUUGAGCUGUGUUCCUGUCUGCUCCAGAACCCCAACCUGUGCUGGACAACCACACUCUGCUCUUCCCUUGUAAAUGCCUUCCUACCUAUUGUACCUUAUCGAUCAAUAAUAACACCCUUAACCCCCAAA